GCAGUAGCCACGGUAAUACGUAGGUGGCAAGCGUUGUCCGGAAUUAUUGGGCGUAAAGCGCGCGCAGGCGGAUAGGUCAGUCUGUCUUAAAAGUUCGGGGCUUAACCCCGUGAUGGGAUGGAAACUGCCAAUCUAGAGUAUCGGAGAGGAAAGUGGAAUUCCUAGUGUAGCGGUGAAAUGCGUAGAUAUUAGGAAGAACACCAGUGGCGAAGGCGACUUUCUGGACGAAAACUGACGCUGAGGCGCGAAAGCCAGGGGAGCGAACGGGAUUAGAUACCCCAGUAGUCCCUGUCUCUUAUACC
rnacentral:rRNA from 1 species